CGGAAGGUAUGCGUUCCCGGUGGGCGUCGCGGGCUUCAAACCCGUUGUUGGAAUCGGUGGCGAUCUCCAAGGAGGGUUCGAUUCCCUUGCCUUCCCGCCA
rnacentral:tRNA from 1 species